rnacentral:misc_RNA from 1 species
AUGUGUAUAAGAGACAGGUGAAUCAUCGAAUCUUUGAACGCACAUUGCGCCCUUUGGUAUUCCUUAGGGCAUGCCUGUUCGAGCGUCAUUUAAACCUUCAAGCUCAGCUUGGUGAUGGGUGACUGUCCUCUCCCCGCGUUAGGACUCGCCUCAAAUACAUUGGCGGCCGGUACAUUGGCUUCGAGCGCAGCAGAAACGCGGUCUCGAGUCCGGUGGACUUGCUCCCAUAAGCAUCUUUUUAUUUUGACCUCGGAUCAGGUAGGGAUACCCGCUGAACUUAAGCAUAUCAAUAAGCGGAGG